ensembl:lncRNA
GGAGCAUCCAGCAGUUUGAACAGGACAUACAAACAUCUGAAAUUCUCGCCAUUCCAUGGGUGAGCAAAGCAGUGGUUCUCUGACAGCAAAGAGGCGUUGGGUACACAGUUCAGAGGAUCGUCAAAAUGUUGCAGAAGAGAUCUGCAACACCAUUCUGGGACACACCAGGGAGCGCUUCUCCUUCACCGACCAUCUUGUCUGUGCAACCUUGCUGCAGGGGGACAGGUUUGAGGACCAUCAGGGGGCAUUUCCUGAAGAGACACUACAAAGCACGCUGAAGGCCUACAAAAUGCUGAAUGGAAGCAAACUGAAGACAGAGCUCAGUCUCAUCUACAGCAAAGUAGAGUUCAGAGCCUGUUGUGGUGCAGUGGACCUGUUCCAGCUGUUCAUGGAAAACAAUCUUGAAGAUGUCUUUUCAGAAACUGUCACUCUCUUAAAGAUCCUCAUCACCACACCCAUGACCACAGCUGAAGCAGAGAGGUGCUUCUCAACCUUGAAAAGAGUGAAAACCUUCCUCAGAAACACCAUGACCCAGGAGAGGCUGAGUGCACUGGCCAUGCUCUCCAUGGAAAAGAAACUUGUUUGUGAAAUGACAGAUUUCAAUCAGAAAGUCUUUGAACAAUUUGCUGGCCUGAUGGAGAGGAGAGCAAAAUUUAUGUUCAAGUAGUUUAUUGUUGUGUUGUAAUCCCCGCCCGCCAGUGCGCCCCCCC